CUACUACUCCCUCCGUUCGGAAUCACUUGUCUCGGAAAUGGAUGUAUCUAGAACUAAAACACGUCUAGAUACAUCCAUUUCUACGACAAGUAAUUCCGAACGGAGGGAGUAGAAU
rfam:Triticum aestivum genome assembly, contig: Triticum_aestivum_CS42_TGACv1_scaffold_080485_1DS